GUGGAAUACACCUCGGCUGAAUACAUCUAGAGCAGCGAUCUUCUCGCAACUGCUAGGGGACGAUAGUAAUGAUAGCCGGUCAGCCUCUGUGCCGGAAACUGGGCAGCGCAACUGACGGCGCUGGGUUCGGGUUAACUUCCGGCACAGGGCAAAAGUGCGGCCAGAUUCAAACGACAGCGCGUUGCAGGGGCAGAGAACUAAGUUCUACUAGGGAUACUCCUACAACAGACAAAAGGCCGUUCCGAUAAGUUCAACCAAGUAAAUCUCUAACUUAAUGCGGGAACCCUGCUAUUGGAUAGAACGAUAUGGUGACACUUGCAUGCUGCAGUGCUUCUGAGUGGCUGGCACGAAGUGAUAAUUUACCUAUUUUAUAAUUUGAGGAUUCCCGACUGAACUUGGGUUCCUGCUGCAGUUUAUUGGACCGACGGUGUUUCCGAUUCUUCACGCUCUGCUUCAUUGACGUGAGUGAACAAAUGUGAUGUAACAGGGAGCCUAAAAUUAACAGCAAGCGGUUUCUUAGACUUGUUGACAACGAAGGAUGCCACAGUUCGAAAGCUAGAAGGGCUGACAAAAACGGUGAGCGAGAACGGGAUCUUCGGAAAGGUCAUUCUACCAGAUAUUCAUCUGGUCAUCAAAAAUAGUCUAUCAUUUCUGUCAAGCGUUUCUGUCGAAGUAUUGCUGUGUAUAUUUUUGUCUCCACGAAGUAUUCUUGUCGCCGCAUCUUCAUAUUGGGAUAACACUUAUAUGUUGAUUAUGAUCGGCGACCAUGUCUACACUAGCUAAUAGAGAAAGGACUGCUACCAAACAUAAGCUCGCUUUUUACG